rnacentral:rRNA from 1 species
AAAUUGAAGAGUUUGAUCAUGGCUCAGAUUGAACGCUGGCGGCAGGCCUAACACAUGCAAGUCGAACGGUAACAGGAAGCAGCUUGCUGCUUCGCUGACGAGUGGCGGACGGGUGAGUAAUGUCUGGGAAACUGCCUGAUGGAGGGGGAUAACUACUGGAAACGGUAGCUAAUACCGCAUAAUGUCGCAAGACCAAAGAGGGGGACCUUCGGGCCUCUUGCCAUCGGAUGUGCCCAGAUGGGAUUAGCUUGUUGGUGGGGUAACGGCUCACCAAGGCGACGAUCCCUAGCUGGUCUGAGAGGAUGACCAGCCACACUGGAACUGAGACACGGUCCAGACUC